UACGUAGGGUGCGAGCGUUAAUCGGAAUUACUGGGCGUAAAGCGUGCGCAGGCGGUUCGUUGUGUCUGAUGUGAAAGCCCCGGGCUUAACCUGGGAAUGGCAUUGGAAACUGGCGAGCUGGAGUGUGGCAGAGGGGGGUGGAAUUCCGCGUGUAGCAGUGAAAUGCGUAGAGAUGCGGAGGAACACCGAUGGCGAAGGCAGCCCCCUGGGCCAACACUGAAGAUCAGGCACGAAAGCGUGGGGAGCAAACAGG
rnacentral:rRNA from 1 species